CCAAGCCUCACUCAGAGUUGCAAGACCUGGGAGAGUUAAUCCUCUCUGGUCUGGAGGCUUCUCUGUUUUUCUUCUAGACUUUGUACUGAUUCAGAGGACACGCAUGUCCCUGGGAUGGCAUGGAAACAGGUUCGAUUGUGGCUUCAUUGAAGACAGUGAUAAUGUAGGCUUAGGGGGAAGAAGUCACAGCACCUCAGGCCACACCCUGCUCCUCCGCAGCACCUUUGCUCACUAUGACUUCAUCCUUUCAAGCCCAAACACAGUUCCUUCAGCAGAACAGCUGUUGUGGGUGCCCACUGGCCAUGCCUGCUGAGGGGCUGUCAUCCUGAGCAUUCCAGACAGGGACACGUCCACCACAACAGCCGCGCCCUUCUGAAGGCUGGAUGAUGGGAGAGGCAGUGCUGGGCAGGACAAACACUCAACAGACAGUGGGACCCUCCCUUCCCUGCAGAGAGGAUCCCCACCUGCUGGUUCUAUGCUCAUGGCCAAGUGAUGCCUCCCGCGCUGGUGAAGACACUUACUGGACAGGGAACCCACAUGGCUGCAUCAUCAUUCCCUAAACACAUGGCUUAUGCUGGGUUCACUCUUGGUGUUCACUGCUUGGUGGGUUGUUCUGACGAGUGCGUCACUCCCAGCUCUGUCAUAGCUUUAAGCAGAAAGGGUGUGCCACCGUCUUGCAGCUCUGUGUGUCUGUCUCCCACCCCGCUGGCACCCAGCCUUUUGUACUUCAUGGCAGUCUGCAAAGACAGAGCAGGGAUGUCACUCAGGUAAGACCUGCUUCCUAUCCUGGGUGGUAAAAAGCUCGUGGCCACAUUCAUUGCCAUAUCUCUGGGAUCUCUUAUCAUACAGUCCAUGUGUCAACUACCUGUCAGCUCUGUUGAUGGAGAAGGAAGUUACAGAUGCUGUCGUGGAUGAGCAGCAGAGAGAAAGAGGAUAAAGGAGGGCUCCUGGAACUGGUUGGAGCAGGUGGUGUUCGGGAGCAAAGAGGAAGCUGCCCCAGAGUCACUGUGGUCCGGGCCAGGAGCUUCCCUUUAAGACAAGAGAUUGUCAAAGCACAGUGGUCUUCAGGCAAAGCAACUGAGAAUGCACAGUAGGGCCUCUUCUGGCAGUGAGGUGUUUGCUCUUUCUCUCAGGAGCUGGUGAGGGCCAGAGCCAAGAAUCAUGUCCUGGGUGCUCAGCCCUGAGAUGCACUACCAGGACAUGGUGUGUGGCUAUCUGAGUCUUCUGUCUUUUGGAGUCACUUCCAGAUCUUUCGGCCCAGUAAAUGAUUAAUCAGUUAAAUAGACACAGGCUCCUUAAAGAAACCGGCUUCCCUUCCUACCUGCCCCAGUUGCUCCUGAAUUUACUCUGUCAGUGAGCCAGUUUCUAGGACAAGCCUCACUGGCUUUUAUUUUAUUUUAUUUUAUUUUAUUGCCAGAGCCUUGUGACCUUGAAGCCAAGCAGUGACAUUACUUGUCCUGAAGUUUCCUAUGUCUCAUCUCCUCUAAGAUCUGAGGGAGGGGACCCCUCAGGAUCCCUUUGGGACUCUUGGAAGGGGGCAGGAUGCUGGUGGCUUCAUUUGCCCAGAAGGCAGGGUAAACCAGUGACCCCCACCCCCCCUUUUGCUACCUGGCCGUGUCAGCCCAGAUGCCCUGCGGCAGAAUCAGAUUGAGUUUCCUUGGCUAGCUAUGGUCUCUUGUCCAUAUUUUCAUCUGCUCGACUUUCCAAAUUUGCUGCGUGCCAGCCCCAUGACCUGGAUUCACGGAGAACACCUCAAGCCUUUGCUUGGGCCCCUAGGGUCGUUUAUUUCAGGGCCAGGUAAGGACUAGGAAAGGACAUGCAGCUAAAGACGAGGCCAAGCUAUGUAGUAUUUUCCGAUGUCGAAUUUUGUCCUGUGACCUCCUUUUGGUCCCCAUCCCUGGUCCUCAAGCUUGCGGCGUGAGAACUCACGGUUCUCUGGGGUCUCCCGAGCACCACCACAGUAAAUGGACGGUUUCUGCAGCGUUUGCACUCAGCCAAUAGUAGGGCUGCUUUUCUGAGGAAGGAAGGCAGGACUCAUACCCAGAAUCCUUUGCUGGUUCCUAGCUCUAGGGGCUACAAUGAAGCAGAUUUCUGGGUUAAAAAUAUCAGGCAAAACCUCCAUUUCUGUGAACGCCGAGAAAAACCUAAAGUUUGCAGGAGAAGGAAGAGUCACUCGUGUCAUCAGGAAUUCCCAGAGGGGACAGGACCUGACUUUGAAAACUGGGUGGCUUGUCCGGAUAUUUUGAUAACUCUGCCUUCCCCUAAGACGUGUGGCCGUGGGCCAGCCUUCAAGCUUCAGACAUGACCUAAUCAGGCCCCUGGCCCCUGGGCCUGGUUGGGGGCUUGUUGGUUAGGCUUUAGACUCUUAACCUGUUAGAUGAGGUGGGUGAUGGAUCAGAGUCCUUGGUCCCUAAAGGUGACAGUCAAGAGGCUUCGGUGGGGUGGCUUUGCUGGCCUGAAUCCACCCCAACACCUGUGGAAUGCUCGUCCUUUGUGUAUUUCUCAUGCAAUAAGUCUCCAUGUCACUUCCAUACAUUUAGGGUCCUCUGCUUUUCCUUGCAAGUGAAAGAUACACUUAAUCGCACAGAAGCUCCGCAGCCGCUCGUGAGAGCGCAGGCUCUCAGCGAAGCUGUGAGCAGCCAAUUAUGUACAUUCAGGUGCUGUACCAGUGUCUCCCUUGGGUCCAGUGGCUGUGAUAUGCAGCCUCCCCGAUCCCAAGUGAUGAAGAAUAGGGAGUGCGAAAGCAACGUUCUCACAUAUAGCUAGUAGCUUCUCUUCACUUAUUAAUGGCUGGGCUCAUGAGCUGUGGCAGUGGGGCUACAAAGCAUGGGCAGAGUGGGCAUGGGCCUUUGUGCUAGGUUAUCUCUCCCUGAGCAUUCAAUGGUAGCACUAAAGGUCGAGUGGGGUCAGAUGGGUUUGGGUCAGAAGUAGGAGAGUAGACCCAUCGGCUGGUAUCCAUCCAUCCAUCCGAGGGGACUCGCUGUGUACUGGUGAGCAUGAAGGAGUUAAAGCCACAGGCACGGCCUUGGUGAGGAAGGGACCUAACACAGGGGAGUAAACAGAAAUGUUCUCUGGAAAACUUACAUAUGAACAACACCGGGCCCGUCACACUUAGGGUCACGAUUAGAUUGGUAGACAUAGCUCCCAGGGUUAGGGUUAGGGUUAGGCCAUGUGGCUGACAUUUGACUGUUCCCUGCCUCAUCCCAGGGAGCCACCACUAUGAAACUGAAGUCUGGUGGUGUGAUGUAAUAAGGAAAGGUCCUUUUGUGAGGCUGAUUGGAACAUCGGCAGCCAUGGAGGGGUUGGGGUGGUUGCAGGUCCUCCACCCAUGAAUAUUUAUUUAUUUGGAGCUGUCGUCACCCACCUCGCCCAUCUCCGGGUCUGACCUAACAUCCUCAUAACCACCAGAUAAAAUCUUUUGGAACCCUAGCUCCCCCCCACCUAAAGGCCAGUGGUCCUCAGGCAGCCCCUGAGCCCCACAGCUAAGAUGGCCCGGCAUCGGCAUCGCUGUAAACGACCACCUAAUGUGGCCAAGAAUGUCUCUGGAGAGCGUUGAUUUACGACAACUUUCUUUAUUGUGUUUCAGAAAGGCUUCAUGACGCCGCCGCCUCAUUGGAACAUGGGACUUGGCAAAGUCGGAGACCAUGUCUCUGGGCCCUGUCACUCACGUUCAGCUCUGGAACGUGCUCUCUUGUCCCCCUUGAGGUGGGAGCUUAGAGGGUAGGAUAAAGUGGGGACUGGUGGCACAGAGGGGGCCUGCUUGGCCUCCUUGAUUGGCGACUUCUGCUUUUCCCCUGGGGAAGAGUGGAUGAUCUUAUUAGAAUGUCGUAACGCAAACCGUAUAUGCCGUGUGUGAAAUCCCCCAUGACAAAGCUUCCACAACAGACUUAUCCUUGUGACCAGACAGGACUGAUCUGCUGUUGAUUUUCUUUCUAUUAAGCAAAGACGAUUUCGCUUCUAGAAUUUUUUUUUCUUUUAAAUCUAAGAGCACUGGACUUAGACUCCAAAGCCUAGGGCUGGGAUGAACCCUCACCACCUUGUACCAGUCUGGGCUCAGGUGGUAGAAUCUUCUGUCUCUAUCUCGGCCUCCACAAACGGCCAUUUAUCUGCUUAACACUUCCCGUUUUCUGAAGACCCAGGUUGUGUACUCUUAGGCUUCACAGUUCCCUGUCCCGCCUGGCAAGAGAGGUUCCAAAACCCGAAACCAACCUCUUUUCCUGGACUGCCUGAUACAGACCAUGCCCUUGGAACAAGUGGGUCCCUUCAACCAUCUGGUCUCAGAGACCCACAACCAACAAAGCCAAGGCUCGGGCUCCACACCCUGUGUGAACUUUCCUGACUCUGGCUGAUACUUCAGAGUUUAUUUUAGUGACACCCCUUCCAGGAAGCCUUCCUGGAUGGCCACCUCUGUUCCCACAGCCUCUCUGUUAAUCCAGAUCGAUCAGCUUUAUCGGCACAGCUCAGGGAAAUCGUCCCUAAAUGUCACACUUCUGCUAGAUUACAGCUUCCCAAAGGUAGACUCGGGGUCUCAGGCUCCCUUGUUUGCUCAGCAAUGAUUGCACAGGUUCCAGCUCCGUGGCAUUCAGAUCUCGGCUCUGCUCACCUGUGUGGUCUGAGCUCAUGGCAUAUGGAUGACGUGCCACCUGUGGCUACCAAAGGAAAGAAUGAACAGCGGAUUGACUGCUUAGAUGCUGUGUGAGUGGGCAAGACACUUCACCUUCCUGAGGCUCCCUCCCCCUCUAGCUAGCGCUGGUAAUGGUGGUGUUGCUUUCACAGGGUCAUUCUGAGGGAUAAGGGAUGAGGCAGGGAACAGUCAAAUGUCAGCCACAUGGCCUCAGCUGCUUGCACGUGAAUCUAAGCCUGACCCCGAAGGCCUGGGAUAAAUUCCCAGUGGGCCUCGAGGUUGUCUAUCUGAGCUCAGUGCUCCCUCACCCUCCUGGGUGGUCCAUGGGAAAGGGUUAACAAAUCCAUGCUCCUUCUCUUCGGUCAGAAGCUGGUGACCUCUGGGGGUCACCUCUGACUGCUGGGUCAUCCGAGGCAUUGUGUAGGGACUCUUGAUGGCUGGAUAGCUCCACUGAGUCUUCAGGGCCCAGCUGGCCAACGCUGCCAAGGUCACGGUUCCCUUUGCCUGAAUGGCUCUUUCUUCAAAUAGAGGCAGUCCCUUUGGAAGCUAUGGGCAGCUGAGUCAGCCAGCUGCCUGAGGCCUCUCGGGUCCCUUUGAGCCCUAAGACGUGAGCAGGUCAGCAUGAAGGAGAGAUAGGUUCCCUGUGGUGCUUUCGCCCUGUGGCAUCAUGACUGGGCGACCGGCUUCAUCUAAGUGCCUCUGCGAAUGGGAAAAGCCAAGCCACUGUGAAACAGGUUGGGAGCAUGACACUUUGCUGAGAAGUCAUGCCACUCCGUAGUCAUGAGCUACUUAAUACGGGACAUAAGAGAAAAAAGUCUGGCAUGGGGCACAAUUACUGUAGUGUUUGCCCAGCCUAUGUGAAGCCCCAGGUUCAAUUUCUGGUACAGGAAAAAAAAUCAUAACAAAGAAACACAGGGUGUGCGGCACACAGCUGUGGAGGCUAUGCUGGGUGCAGACCCUCUGUGCUGGUAGAGCAACCCCGAGGCCCAGGUCUCCAUGACUCCUUGCAUGUGGAGCUUCUGCAUGGCAGGGUUAACCCUUUGUCCUACAUAACUGGAAAUCUAGGGCAGCGGGAAGAAGAAAGGGCUCUCACAUGACAUAGAAUACAUCAUGUCUGUGUAUGUGAUGAGAAGGAAACAUCUGGGAUCUAGGUCAAGGGUCUAAUGCUGCUUGUCUUGGCCAGGGUCUCCAGGGUGCAGCUUCUAUGUUCUACAGCUGCUCAUUGGAGCAGCCUCCUCUUCCUCCUCCUCCUCCUCCUCUUCUUCCUCCUCACUGCGGCUGCUCUGUCUUCUGGGCAGACCUUGCCCCUCACAGCAGGACCAACCCCCCCACUCCAGGCUUUCCUACUGCAGCUGAUCUAUCUCACAUCACCCUGGUCACAGUCGACAGACACGUUCUGUUCAUUUGCAGUAAUCAAUUUACAAGUGUCCUCCACCAGACAGGGGCUCAGCCCCACAGAGGGCAGAGGUCCCGUGUGUGAUUUUGCUGUCCGUUUUCUCUCCAACCCCCCGCUGGGUGGGUGGAGGCGAAGGUACCUGACCGGACGUCUAACUGAAGAGUGGAUGUGUGGAUAGCGGAUGGACGGAAGCUGGGCAGACAGAGAGCUGGGUAGACGAUAAAUGGACAGUGGGGUGAGGGGUGGAUGCAUGGAUGCAUGCGUGCAUGCAUGCAUGCAUGGGUGCAUGGGUGCAUGGGUGCGUGGCAAGUGGAUGAAUGGAAGGAUGAGUAGAUAGAUUGACAGACAGGAGAAAAACAGAUGGAAGAUGGAUAGGUGGAGAGAUGGACGGGUGGAUGGAUAGUACACAUUUACCCUUAACGAGCAAACUGUCCACUUGAAAUUCAGUAUCUGUUUUAGAUGUACAGAUGACCAACAUGUAACUCAAGAGAUUUUGUGUCACCGGAUCCUGUUCCCAGUGCUGGGAGGCCUAGUUCCAUGAGAGGAGGAAGGAGAUUAUAGCUGACUGGGAUAAAUGAAGGCCUAGCACUGUCCCUACGGGGAGUGGUUAUGUGUGUCCCCUCCCACACCCAUGAAGCAGGGUAACUUUCUAGAGGCAGAAUCAGAACUGCAUGCCUGCAGCACAGGGCAAGUCACACAGACCAGGGAGAGGCUCCAGCAUGGUGGAAAAACACGGGGAGGACAGGCUACAGUGCCAGGCAUACAAUAAAGAGAGGUGUGGACUGCGGCCAAGCAGAGGACCCAGAGCCAAGGACAGAGCAUAGAGCUACAGCCAGUUCCAGGUGCCAUGGAGGGAAGACAGGUCCGGGUGGCUGUUUGGACUCAGAUUGUAUAUUGUAAUGAUUAGCUGAGAUUUCUUUCAAGCUAUUGUUCUCCCCACCCCCCACCCCCCAGCAAACAAAGAGAACCAUCCAGCCAGUGCCUCCCUCUGCUCCCACUAACUAAAGCCCACAUUGUGUAGCUAUGGCUACCUCUGCUAUGAUCCGCAGCUCUCCCGGAGAUGGCAGCGGUGGGGGUCAGGAUGCGGCAUCUGGGCCCUCAUCCUACUUCCAGUGGGGCUAACUCUUCACUUCGAGAAAUAUAAGAUAUUAUUAUUAUAAAAUAAUAAUAAGAUAAAACAUUCUUUUGCUUUGGGUCUAAAAAUGCCACAGAAAAAAAGGAGGAGGGAAGAACGAACGUAGGAUGCUAACGACUUUACCUCCCUCCCACCAGUGUCCAAGUCUGCGCGACGCCAGCUUUACCAUUUUCCCUCUCAUGUUGUGCUCUAUCGGAGGAACACAGCCUGCUUUCUUCUGCAUUGUACUGUGUAGAUAUCUGGCCUGUUCAUGCUUAAGUUCAUGGGAAUAGUGUGUUGUAUACAUGCAUGUGUCUCUUGGCACCAGAUUCCAGGAGCUUCUGGAGGAGAUGUGUUUGUUUGAGGACUUAAAAAUGCCAGGGAAGGGUUGGGGAUUUAGCUCAGUGGAAGAGCGCUUGCCUAGCAAGCGCAAGGCCCUAGGUUCGGUCCCCAGCUCCGGAAAAAGAAAAGAAAAAAAAAAAAAAGCCAGGGGAAUCACUCCACCAGGAUUCCCCGCUGGAGAGGGAGGGGUCCCUGUAUUUGUGGUUCAGGGGCACUUCUGCACGGCUUUGGAUUCCCGUUCCUACCAGGAGUACACUUGUACCUCUCAUGACCAGGGGCUCUCUGUAGUCUUGAACUCAGGGAGAGGAAAAGCUCCCAUUCUUGAGGGCCAGCUCCUCCAGCCCUGUGCCAUCCUAUGCUCUGAUUUUGCUGCUCUGUGGGUGCUCCAUGGUGACUCAUCUGUCCCUGGGGGCCCCUUGAAAGAUGCUUAGGGGUCUUCCCUGGGCCGGUUCCCUCAGGGCAUUCAGGCCUGGGCUGGAGCUGAAACUGGUUCUCUGCUUUGCUCUGUCUUACAACCUGCUGUCCCCUGCUGCAGCCUGGGGACUCACUUUCCAGCCCUGCAACCCACACCCAGAAGUGCGUUCAUCUUGUAGCAGGCACGCGCUGUGGAGAUGUGAACAAACCCACCAGUGGGUGAGUGGCUGCUGGGAUCGUUAAAGCUCAGCUUUAGGGACUUUUUUUUUUUUUUGCCUCAUUCAUUAUUAAAUCCCCUCGAAAAAAUGACCAAGGUCGUUUAUUUGCAUAACUAAAGGGAGACAAUGAUUAAGCCUGAGACAGUACACACACACACCUCACACCCCUUAUGACCUGGUGGGACCUGACCAAGUCUUCACGUGCUAAUCCUCCUGACCCAACAGGAACAAGGCUCAGGCCCGCAGAGCAGGCACUGUGUGGACAAUUUCCCCUCAUGACUGUGUGGUUGGCUGGAAACUUCUGCGGCCAGCAUCAAUGAGAGCAUUCACAUGGCAAGCGGAGGAAAAUUCCAACUCAAAACUCAAAGUACGAGGCCUGAUAAAUGUGUGCUGUUUUCACAGCAUUCUGAUGUGAAGAGAGUUAUGUUGAACUCCCGGGGGUCAGGUGUAUAUGAAUAAUCUCCUACCAUGCCAUUUACACAAUUAAUUCCCAAAGUCAGACACACUCAAAAGAUAGGGUUUUAGUUUAUUUUUUUAAAUAAAAGGUAGGAUUCUUUUAUUGGUGUUAUUUUACAUCCUCAUUGGUCUUAAUUUAAAAACUCCUAAGACAUUAAUGAAGAUCACGGGCUACCCAGCAAACUUUUUAUUGGCUGCAUACUAUUCCACUGGGCGGGUGACUCAGGAUUUAUUUCACUGGUUCCCAGGUGUUGCUAGCCAUCUGAAAGCUGUUUUCCAGGUCUCAGCCACAAGGAACAGGGCUGCAAGUUACUGAAUUGCAUAGACUUUGAUACCCCCUGCGAGGGGUUAGUUCAUCAAAAGGCGCAUGUACUUUGUAUUUUAGUAGGUGUGGCUUGGUCGAUGCAGUAAGUCACACGUCUUGCUUUUUGCUGUUACUUUCUUUUGUUCUUUUGCACUCCCCCUCCCCAGGCUGCCAAGAAGCUGGGUGCCUCCCAGUGUAGAACGGCCCCUGGCUAAUUGCUCCCUGCUGAUGUCCUCUUGCAGGGCAGUGCUUUGUGUGUUGUGCAUGGAGGUAGCCGAGGACAGUGACUGUUCUAUUGCCCAGCAAAAGCAACUGCAAACUGUAAACACCAUUUCCCACUGGUUCUCCUCAGCCCCCUGGGGUCUUAGCAUCUCUUAGAUGGGUGCAGGGGCUGAGGUGCUCCACCAGCCUUUCUCCAUUCCCAUAACCUACCUGCCCCCACACUGCCAGCUGGUAGGAACAGAAGGCCUGGGGCCUCUGGCAGCCAGUCAGUGAGGCUCAACAUUUGCUAAAGCCCAGGGCCUGUUUGCUUAGGCCUCUGGGGUUAAGGUGCACGUGUGCAUGUGAGAUCCACUCUCACCGGCUCGUGCACAUGUGCACACAUGUGCGUGCGGCAGCUGCCGUCCGUGUGACUGACCUCCUUCCUCGGGGUCACCUGGUGCUGUGGCUUCCCGCACCAGGUGGACUCCCUUCAGCUCUGCCACAUGCCUCAGCCUUUGGAAGUGAUGUGUCCUACAUUCCAGGACCUGUGCUAGACACUCUAGGCCUCCUGCCAUUCAUACACUUUCCCCUUAAAUCCCCUUAAUGCAAGGGUAAAAAGAAAAAAAAUCCUGCUUAGCCUUAUUCAAAGCAAUCGUGUUUAUGCCAUUGUAGGUUAGGUGUCCUGAUUUAAAAUUUACAUAAGUACUAAGUACAUUUCUAUAAACAUAAAUAUGGACACCUGUGAAUUUCCAUUGGUGUGGCUCUGUUUACUCCCUUUGAACAGUUUAAUUCACACACGAAGACAUAACCUUCGACAAGAGGGAUGGAUGGGAAUGUACCUCGGUGAUCCAGAUUGAAUUUUUAAUUGGGGGUUAAAUUACUCCAUGAGUCUCUGGCUGUUUGUGUUAGGACCCCCCACCCCCCGCCCAGCUUCACUGCCCAUCAUUCAGAGUCUGUCUUCUGGGGACUCUGGAAGGCACAGCGUCUGAGCAAAGUCACUCCACUGUGCAGUGGACCCCGGGAACUGAUUUACACCUACACAUGUUCACGUGCCUAUGAGUUCUGUAACACUAUGCUCAAUCACUAGGACUUACGGGCAUAAGAACACAUGUACAUACAAGAUCACAUGCUUUAUGGUCUUAACACACAUCCAUGUACCGUGUGUCUACCUGUCCGUCCUUCUGCUCCUCAGCAUGACCACGUGCCAGCCAGUGAUGGCAUUGCCUCAGAAGCACUCCUCAUCUUCACUUUAAAGGUGAUUGUUCUAGGGGAUCUGGAAGGAUGCACAGGAAGACGCCAUUACAUCAGAACAAGCAGGUGUGGCUUAGCACUCUGAAACGUGCUUCCUGGUUCCUGUAUCACAGACGCUUCUGUGGGAGCCUCGGCCUCCCUUCUCCUUGAGCAACAUCCUCCCUUGAGACUGGGUGGCCUGUGCAGGGGUCAAGCCCAGAACCUCUCCCUUUUUGGUAGAAAGGGAGGGACUGGAAGUUUGGAGAAGAAGAGAAAAAGAGGAGGAGGAGGAGGAGAGGGAAGGAGGGAAAGAGAAAAGAGGGAAGGGGAAGGCAAGGAGGCAGAUGCCCAGACAGAUGGACUGGGCCCUGGGCUCUGCACUCCUAACUAAUUUCCCUCCCCCAGUCCCAAGGCAGGUCUCUGAAUGAGACCAGCCUGAGCAUCUGGGGUGCCUCCAGGAUGAAGCUAAUAAGUCUGGCUUCGAAGAGGUCCCUGCUUCCCCACAGGCAGUAGGAUGCUGGAAGGUUCCUGGGAAGCCAAACAGCAGCCUGUCUUUGUCUGACGCUGGGGGAAAUCUUUUCUCAUGGCCACAGAGGCAGUGACUCAAAAGGCGGGGUCCAGAGACAAAGGAGACCUAUGAAUGCAAGAUCACAAGGAGGAGAGGGAAGUUCUUGGCAACACCGUUGAAAUGAUUGGAGAGAGAGAAGCAGGGCCAGCACAAGGUGGCUAGAAGAAACCUGCCCUACUUUGGCAAGCCAGAACCUUGGAGGCACUCAAGGGCCCACGGUUGGCACCAUUGCUAACUGGAGAUAGGACCUUGGGCCAGAUGUCCUGGGUCUCAAGGCUCCUGGCAAAGUGGACUCUGUUGGAGUUAUAGGAAUGAGGUCAGGUCAGCUACCUGGAAAUUCCUUCCCAAACAUCAAGCAUUUCUCACCGGCCAGCACCACUGUGAAGUCAAGUCUGGCCGGAUGGCAAGGAAGAGGACAUAGACAAGAACUUAACCUAUAAGAUGAGUACGUGAUGCCCAGAUAAAGGGGAAUGGGGCAAAUAAAGGGUCUUACACUCA